GACGAACGCUGGCGGCGUGCUUAACACAUGCAAGUCGAACGGAAAGGCCCUGCUUUUGUGGGGUGCUCGAGUGGCGAACGGGUGAGUAACACGUGAGUAACCUGCCCUUGACUUUGGGAUAACUUAAGGAAACUGGGGCUAAUACCGGAUAGGAGCUCCUGCUGCAGGGUGGGGGUUGGAAAGUUUCGGCGGUUGGGGAUGGACUCGCGGCUUAUCAGCUUGUUGGUGGGGUAGUGGCUUACCAAGGCUUUGACGGGUAGCCGGCCUGAGAGGGUGACCGGCCACAUUGGGACUGAGAUACGGCCCAGACUCCUACGGGAGGCAGCAGUGGGGAAUAUUGCACAAUGGGCGGAAGCCUGAUGCAGCAACGCCGCGUGCGGGAUGACGGCCUUCGGGUUGUAAACCGCUUUCGCCUGUGACGAAGCGUGAGUGACGGUAAUGGGUAAAGAAGCACCGGCUAACUACGCG
rnacentral:rRNA from 1 species